rnacentral:rRNA from 1 species
GAUGAACGCUGACAGAAUGCUUAACACAUGCAAGUCAUUGGCGAAGCUGCGCUUGCGCAGUCUAGCCAAGGCGGACGGGUGAGUAACGCGUAAGGAACUUGCCCUGCAGACAGGGAUAACAGACGGAAACGACUGAUAACACCUGGUAUUGUCAGGCUGUCGCAUGCCGGCCUGAUGAAAGGAGACGCUGCAGGAGAGCCUUGCGUCCUAUUAGCUAGUUGGUGGGGUAACGGCCCACCAAGGCGAUGAUAGGUAGCCGGCCUGAGAGGGUGAACGGCCACAAGGGGACUGAGAUACGGCCCUUACUCCUACGGGAGGCAGCAGUGGGGAAUAGUGGACAAGGGGGGCAACCCUGAUCCAGCAAUUCUGUGUGCAAGAAGAAGGUUUUCGGAUUGUAAAGUGCUUUCAGCAGGGAAGAAGAAAGUGACGGUACCUGCAGAAGAAGCGACGGCUAAAUACGUG